GUCGCAUCGGUUCGAUAGGGAUACUCAUCAAAUAAUUCUGAAAACCGAGAUAGCUUCUUUUGUCAAUGGCGGGCCAUUACUCCUGAUGGCAUAAACACUUCGGGUGACAUCACAUCAGGUACAAAGACGGGGAGUCCUCAAAUCCUUUUUAAACGGAGUUUUCAUCACAUCAUCGAUGCGACCACUU
rnacentral:sRNA from 1 species